GCCAGACUCCUACGGGAGGCAGCAGUGGGGAAUAUUGGACAAUGGGGGGAACCCUGAUCCAGCGACGCCGCGUGAGUGAAGAAGUAUUUCGGUAUGUAAAGCUCUAUCAGCAGGGAAGAAAGGAAUGACGGUACCUGACUAAGAGGCCCCGGCUAACUACGUGCCAGCAGCCGCGGUAAUACGUAGGGGGCAAGCGUUAUCCGGAUUUACUGGGUGUAAAGGGAGCGUAGACGGCAUGGCAAGUCAGAUGUGAAAGCCCGGGGCUCAACCCCGGGACUGCAUUUGAAACUGUCAGGCUGGAGUGCAGGAGAGGUAAGUGGAAUUCCUAGUGUAGCGGUGAAAUGCGUAGAUAUUAGGAGGAACACCAGUGGCGAAGGCGGCUUACUGGACUGUAACUGACGUUGAGGCUCGAAAGCGUGGGGAGCAAACAGGAUUAGAUACCCUAGUA
rnacentral:rRNA from 1 species